rnacentral:lncRNA from 1 species
UGCGGGCAGGGACGAAGGAGAAGCCCACGCCCCACCGCUGCUGCUGCCCCGUGACGGGACCCUCUUCAACCUCCCCCAAACCCUCUUCCCCUACCGGAGCUCAACCUCCAACCAGNUCCUCUCUCUCUCUCGAUUUUUUGUUUGCUUUCAAAUUUAGUUUUAUUCCUCAACAACUACUGCUACAUCACAAUUAAUAUUUGCAUGUAACUUUGUUUUUGCAAAUAAGAAAAUAGAGUCCAGGACGUACGUUCUCUUCUCUCUCCGCUCAUCUCUCUCUCUCCGGCGCGACUCCGGCGCGACUCUGGCGCUUCUCUCUCCGGCAGCAUCCAAGACCUUCUCUCGCUCAUGGGGUUGGGGUUGGCAGCAUCCAGGACCUUCUCUCGCCUGAAACAGUUGCAUGAAUCGGGGGAGACCCACUUCCACAGAAGCGCUCCCCGACUAUCAGCGCUCCCCGGCAGAUAGUCGCGCGACUCCGGCGCUUCCAGGGAAGCAAUCUGCGGGCAGGGACGAAGGAGAAGCCCACGCCCCACCGCUGCUGCUGCCCCGUGACGGGACCCUCUUCAACCUCCCCAAACCCUCUUCCCCUACCGGAGCUCAACCUCCAACCAGACUGGUGGAGGAGCCGCUGCAGAACGAGCCUCCGCUGCAGAGACGGUGAAGGGUGCGGCGGAGACGGCGGCGGAGAAGACGAAGGGCGCCUGGGGGUGGCCAUGGAUACGACGCAAGAACUGUUCUCAACCACCUUCAACACAUCUAACCUAUUAAAUUAAAUUGUCAGAAAAUAUAAGUUUGGAUAGCAAUUUACUGUACUACAUUACCUACAAUUUAAUUAGUGCACAAACAUGGUAAUAACAUUUAUUUCUAUUUUAUUUUCAUUACAAUUCGUACAUUCAU